CAAAAACCUAAGCACUCUUCGAAGUGACACAACAUUUGAGGACGGAAUACAUUUUUCCGCCGGUUUUGACAUCGCUCACCAAUGGCAGUUAGCCGUAUCGCCUGCGACGUACUCAUAUCUUACGCAACAAUGCUGCUUUUCGUAUUAUCUUCAGCCUGAUGAAGCCGCUUCUUCACGCUGCAGUUGUUAGGCGAGGGUAUUUGCAUGGUGACGAAUUAGAUUAUCUGUAUUAGUACAUUAGUCCUGCUAUGUUAUCGAAAGAGUACGGCGGAGGGAGCGACGAGCUUAAACAGGGAAAGUCUGUUGAACUGUCUUGAUACGGCUAUCGGAGGCCGCGCCGCCAUUAAAACCUAGACAUCGACUAAUAAUCUAUGGAUGUUAUUUAGAACAAUCGUCUUAAAAUGACUAAAUUGCACCAGCUGGAUUACCAAAGAUCA